rnacentral:rRNA from 1 species
UGAGGAAUAUUGGUCAAUGGGCGCGAGCCUGAACCAGCCAAGUAGCGUGAAGGAUGAAGGUCCUAUGGAUUGUAAACUUCUUUUAUAGCAGAAUAAAGUGACCCACGUGUGGGUUUUUGUAUGUAUGCUAUGAAUAAGGAUCGGCUAACUCCGUGCCAGCAGCCGCGGUAAUACGGAGGAUCCGAGCGUUAUCCGGAUUUAUUGGGUUUAAAGGGUGCGUAGGCGGAAAGAUAAGUCAGCCUGUGAAAGUUUGCGGCUCAACCGUAAAAUUGCAAUUGAUACUGUUUUUCUUGAGUGUACAUAAGGUAGGCGGAAUUCGUGGUGUAGCGGUGAAAUGCUUAGAUAUCACGAAGAACUCCGAUUGCGAAGGCAGCUUACCGGGGUACAACUGACGCUGAUGCACGAAAGUGUGGGUAUCAAACA